rnacentral:RNase_P_RNA from 1 species
AGAGUCAGCGAGGCUGUUGCGAGGGGCCUGCCCCUUGAGGAAAGUCCGGGCACCUGAAAGACCAGACUUGCUGGGUAACGCCCAGUGCGAGCGAUCGUGAGGAUAGUGCCACAGAAAAAUACCGCCCUUGGUAAGGAUGAAGUGUGAAGUAGGAAGUAGGAAACCGGAGGCUUGCUUUCCGCGUUCCGCCUUCCUACUUCCGCCUUCCCCCCAGGGUAAGGGUGCAAAGGUGCGGUAAGAGCGCACCAGCAACAUCGAGAGGUGUUGGCUCGGUAAACCCCGGUCGGGUGCAAGGUCGAAGGGGCAAAGGUUGGUCUUUUUCCUGUCCCGAACAACCAUUUGGCGGCGGCUUCGGCCAAACCCAGGUGGCUGUGUGUCCGCUGGAGGCAUGGAGUAAUCCCUGUCCUAGAUAGAUAACAAGCCCUAACCUGCGCUUGCAGGCUAGAACAGAACCCGGCUUAUGUCUGACUCUUCUU